rnacentral:tRNA from 1 species
GUUGGUGUAGCUCAAUGGGUAGAGCGGCUGAUUUGUAAUCAGCAGGUUGCGGGUUCAAGUCCCGCCACCAGCUCCA